rnacentral:lncRNA from 10 species
CAUAUUGGGAGUUGGAGCUGCAACAUCUGAAUGAGGGCGUACAGAAUUCAAUCUACAGCUACCUUCCUAUGAACUGUACCCAUCAAAGAAUGCUACAGAAACUGUGGGAUCUGAACGGCACCUUGAAGAGAAAGGAUUAUUCUUGGAAAGAAGAGGGAGGAUGUCCCAGUUUAAAAGAGGCACUCAUCAAAUGGGAAGCUACAAUCAAACAUCUUCAAGGCAUUUUCACCCAUAAAUAUAUAGGGGAAUAGAGCUGGGAGUGCUUAAGGUAUGGGCAGGGUGAAGGAGAGACAAAUGUGUAUGAGACAGGGUCUCCCUUCCGUUGCCAAGGCUGGGGCGUGGUGGUGCAAUCUCCACUCACUGCAGCACUAACUUCCUGAGUUCAAGUGAUCCUCCCACCUCAGGGGAGGUAGAAUUCUCAGAGGGGCCCCAUGAUCUCCACUCCCAGAUGUCACUCCCAUGAUUAUGUAGGUUAAAGGAAUUUUGCAGCUGUGAGUAAAAUUACUAAUCAAGUAACCUUUAGUUAGGAAGAUUGCCCAGGUGGGUGUAACCUAAUCACCUGAGUCCUUUAAAACAGGGAAUUUU